AGCAGCCGCGGUAAUUCCAGCUCCAAUAGCGUAUAUUAAAGUUGCUGCAGUUAAAAAGCUCGUAGUUGAAUUUCGGGACUAAUAUGUCGGUCGUGCCUCGGUACGUACUGGUUUAUUGGUUUCUCCUUUCUGAAGAACCAUGAUGUCAUUUAUUUGGUGUCGUGUGGAAUCAGGACUGUUACUUUGAAAAAAUUAGAGUGUUUAAAGCAGGCUCACGCUUGAAUACAUUAGCAUGGAAUAAUGAAAUAGGACGUUUGAUUCUAUUUUGUUGGUUUCUAGGAUCGACGUAAUGAUUAAUAGGGAUAGUUGGGGGCAUUAGUAUUCAAUUGUCAGAGGUGAAAUUCUUGGAUUUAUUGAAGACUAACUACUGCGAAAGCAUUUGCCAAGGAUGUUUUCAUUAAUCAAGAACGAAAGUUAGGGGAUCGAAGACGAUCAGAUACCGUCGUAGUCUUAACCAUAAACUAUGCCGACUAGGGAUCGGAUGAUGUUAAUUUUUUAAUGACUCAUUCGGCGCCUUACG
rnacentral:rRNA from 1 species